rfam:Gossypium raimondii scaffold_454_contig_3, whole genome shotgun sequence.
GGGUGAGAUCAUACCAGCACUAAUGCACCGGAUCCUAUCAAAACGCCAAUGUUAAGCAUGCUUGGGCGAGAGUAGUACUAGGAUGGGUGACCUCCUGAGAAGUCCUCGUGUUACACCGC